CGAGUCUUAACCGGGCGUUAAGUUGCAGGGUAUAGACCCGAAACCCGGUGAUCUAGCCAUGGGCAGGUUGAAGGUUGGGUAACACUAACUGGAGGACCGAACCGACUAAUGUUGAAAAAUUAGCGGAUGACCUGUGGCUGGGGGUGAAAGGCCAAUCAAACCGGGAGAUAGCUGGUUCUCCCCGAAAGCUAUUUAGGUAGCGCCUCGUGAAUUCAUCUCCGGGGGUAGAGCACUGUUUCGGCUAGGGGGCCAUCCCGGCUUACCAACCCGAUGCAAACUGCGAAUACCGGAGAAUGUUAUCACGGGAGACACACGGCGGGUGCUAACGUCCGUCGUGAAGAGGGAAACAACCCAGACCGCCAGCUAAGGUCCCAAAGUCAUGGUUAAGUGGGAAACGAUGUGGGAAGGCCCAGACAGCCAGGAUGUUGGCUUAGAAGCAGCCAUCAUUUAAAGAAAGCGUAAUAGCUCACUGGUCGAGUCGGCCUGCGCGGAAGAUGUAACGGGGCUAAACCAUGCACCGAAGCUGCGGCAGCGACGCUGAUGCGUUGUUGGGUAGGGGAGCGUUCUGUAAGCCUGUGAAGGUGGCCUGUGAGGGUUGCUGGAGGUAUCAGAAGUGCGAAUGCUGACAUAAGUAACGAUAAAGCGGGUGAAAAGCCCGCUCGCCGGAAGACCAAGGGUUCCUGUCCAACGUUAAUCGGGGCAGGGUGAGUCGACCCCUAAGGCGAGGCCGAAAGGCGUAGUCGAUGGGAAACGGGUUAAUAUUCCCGUACUUGGUGUUACUGCGAAGGGGGGACGGAGAAGGCUAUGUUGGCCGGGCGACGGUUGUCCCGGUUUAAGCGUGUAGGUGUGUGUUCCAGGUAAAUCCGGUUCACUUUAACACUGAGGCGUGAUGACGAGGCACUACGGUGCUGAAGCAACAAAUGCCCUGCUUCCAGGAAAAGCCUCUAAGCAUCAGGUAACAUCAAAUCGUACCCCAAACCGACACAGGUGGUCAGGUAGAGAAUACCAAGGCGCUUGAGAGAACUCGGGUGAAGGAACUAGGCAAAAUGGUGCCGUAACUUCGGGAGAAGGCACGCUGACACGUAGGUGAAGUGAUUUACUCAUGGAGCUGAAGUCAGUCGAAGAUACCAGCUGGCUGCAACUGUUUAUUAAAAACACAGCACUGUGCAAACACGAAAGUGGACGUAUACGGUGUGACGCCUGCCCGGUGCCGGAAGGUUAAUUGAUGGGGUCAGCGCAAGCGAAGCUCCUGAUCGAAGCCCCGGUAAACGGCGGCCGUAACUAUAACGGUCCUAAGGUAGCGAAAUUCCUUGUCGGGUAAGUUCCGACCUGCACGAAUGGCGUAAUGAUGGCCAGGCUGUCUCCACCCGAGACUCAGUGAAAUUGAACUCGCUGUGAAGAUGCAGUGUACCCGCGGCAAGACGGAAAGACCCCGUGAACCUUUACUAUAGCUUGACACUGAACAUUGAGCCUUGAUGUGUAGGAUAGGUGGGAGGCUUUGAAGCGUGGACGCCAGUCUGCAUGGAGCCGGCCUUGAAAUACCACCCUUUAAUGUUUGAUGUUCUAACGUGGACCCGUGAUCCGGGUUGCGGACAGUGUCUGGUGGGUAGUUUGACUGGGGCGGUCUCCUCCUAAAGAGUAACGGAGGAGCACGAAGGUUGGCUAAUCCUGGUCGGACAUCAGGAGGUUAGUGCAAUGGCAUAAGCCAGCUUGACUGCGAGCGUGACGGCGCGAGCAGGUGCGAAAGCAGGUCAUAGUGAUCCGGUGGUUCUGAAUGGAAGGGCCAUCGCUCAACGGAUAAAAGGUACUCCGGGGAUAACAGGCUGAUACCGCCCAAGAGUUCAUAUCGACGGCGGUGUUUGGCACCUCGAUGUCGGCUCAUCACAUCCUGGGGCUGAAGUAGGUCCCAAGGGUAUGGCUGUUCGCCAUUUAAAGUGGUACGCGAGCUGGGUUUAGAACGUCGUGAGACAGUUCGGUCCCUAUCUGCCGUGGGCGCUGGAGAACUGAGGGGGGCUGCUCCUAGUACGAGAGGACCGGAGUGGACGCAUCACUGGUGUUCGGGUUGUCAUGCCAAUGGCACUGCCCGGUAGCUAAAUGCGGAAGAGAUAAGUGCUGAAAGCAUCUAAGCACGAAACUUGCCCCGAGAUGAGUUCUCCCUGAGACUUAGAGUCUCCUGAAGGAACGUUGAAGACGACGACGUUGAUAGGCCGGGUGUGUAAGCGCAGCGAUGCGUUGAGCUAACCGGUACUAAUGAACCGUGAGGCUUAACCUUACAACGCCGAAG
rnacentral:rRNA from 3 species